rnacentral:rRNA from 1 species
CGCGUAGGCGGGUCUGUAAGUCAGAGGUGAAAUCCUGCGGCUUAACCGUAGAACUGCCUUUGAUACUGCAGAUCUUGAGUUCGGAAGGGAGAGGCGGAAUUCCAGGUGUAGUGGUGAAAUACGUAGAUAUCUGGAAGAACACCAGAGGCGAAGGCGGUCUCUUGGUCCGUAACUGACGCUGAGGCGCGAAAGCGUGGGGAGCAAACA